AAAAGGCGGAAACCGCAGAGGCGUCUUGAUCUUCCGGUCGGAGAGAUAGCUUGCUUCCUUUAAGCCUCGGGGCAGAACCACAGAGAGGCUACAGCCGUCCUGGCCUCCCUCCGGCCCUGAGAGCUCCUCUGGCCUGUCUCAAGCCUUAACGUCUCAAGCGCAGACUGCCGGCUCCGAACGGGGAGACCAGGCUUCUGCACCGGAAACAAGGCACCGGUUGUGACGUCACAGCCGCAGAGCGCCCGACCUCCCAGAAGGCACCGCGUCCCUGCCGUUCUCAACUGGCGGCGGCGCGAACGAAUAGUCGCCGGCGACCUGUGAGGGCACUCGGAAGGGCGAGGGGAGGGCUCGGCCGCUCGCGCCUAGUUUUCCUAUCUCUCCCGGAGCCUGAGUCUCUGAGCCGUCCCCAGCAAACGCUCAGGGGCUGCAGAGGCCCUGAGAGGUGAGGGGCUCCGUGAGGGCGGGAACCAGGCUGAGGCCGCCUCUGGGGAGCGGAGCGUGUCCGUUGCUGAGGGAGCAAGGCCGGGUAGGGAGCCUGGUGAGCGCCUCAGGCAGGGGCGCACGCUGAGCUUUACCGUAAAGGUGUUCCUUGACCAGCGGAAGAGGCCCCAGAGUGAGCCUGGCCCGGCGGUCC
rnacentral:sRNA from 1 species